AACGAACGCUGGCGGCAUGCCUAACACAUGCAAGUCGAACGAGACCUUCGGGUCUAGUGGCGCACGGGUGCGUAACGCGUGGGAACCUGCCCUUAGGUUCGGAAUAACUCCCCGAAAGGGGUGCUAAUACCGGAUAAUGUCUUCGGACCAAAGAUUUAUCGCCUUUGGAUGGGCCCGCGUUGGAUUAGCUAGUUGGUAGGGUAAAAGCCUACCAAGGCGACGAUCCAUAGCUGGUCUGAGAGGAUGAUCAGCCACACUGGGACUGAGACACGGCCCAGACUCCUACGGGGGGCAGCAGUGGGGAAUAUUGGAAAAUGGGCGAAAGGCUGAUCCAGCAAUGCCGCGGGAGUGAUGAAGGCCUUAGGGUUGUAAAGCUCUUUUACCCGGGAUGAUAAUGACAGUACCGGGAGAAUAAGCUCCGGCUAACUCCGUG
rnacentral:rRNA from 1 species